GACGAACGCUGGCGGCGUGCUUAACACAUGUAAGUCGAACGGGCUGAAGUGAUAGCUUGCUAUUAUGGAUGCUAGUGGCAAACGGGUGAGUAACGCGUAGGCAACCUGCCCUUCAGAUGGGGACAACACUUCGAAAGAGGUGCUAAUACCGAAUGACGUAUCCAUUCCGCAUGGAGAGGGUACCAAAGGCCGGGCAACCGGUCACUGAAGGAUGGGCCUGCGUCUGAUUAGCUAGUUGGUGGGGUAACGGCUCACCAAGGCGACGAUCAGUAGCCGGUCUGAGAGGAUGAACGGCCACAUUGGGACUGAGACACGGCCCAGACUCCUACGGGAGGCAGCAGUGGGGAAUCUUCCGCAAUGGACGAAAGUCUGACGGAGCAACGCCGCGUGAACGAUGACGGCCU
rnacentral:rRNA from 1 species